AAGAUAUGGAAUGAAAAACAACAGCUAGAAAAAGAUAUCUUGAAAAAAGAAAGCAGUUUAUUGAUGGUCAUAGAUGAAGGAAAAGUUGCAUUAGAGAAGGAGGUGAAAUCCCAUAAAGAAUCAAAAGAAGAAGCCUCACAAAUUCAACUUACACUAAAAGAAGAAAUUAAAAGUUGGGUAGAAAAAUUUAAACAAGUCAGUGAAGAUUCGCAGUCCAAAAUUAAGAGCUUGGAGAAGAUAGCUAAUGAUCUAAAGGGGGAUG
rnacentral:lncRNA from 1 species